rnacentral:lncRNA from 1 species
ACAAUUCAAUCAAUAAAAGUAGCAAAGUGCAGAAGGGGAUGAGCUGGGCUUUGAGUUAGGAAUGCUGGCAUCUGUCCCAGUUUUCCUUUCAUAAUUUGUUCUAGGGCUAUGGAGAUGCUCAUAAAGGAUUCUCAUUCCUAUUGUAAGCCAGAGAGAAUGCAAUCCAAUGCAAUGUUUCGAUCAUGGAGUCUUUAUUGGACACAGGCUGGCAUGAGUUGAUGGCACCUGAAAAUCAGCAAGCUACAAAUGCUCCUGGGAGGAACAGCAUCUUCAGUCUCUAAACCUUGGUGCAGCUGAGUUUAUUAGAGGUUUUCCAGACCUUAACAAGAGCCUGUGACAGUACUAAGACCCUGGGGAUGGUGCGAAGGAGUCUGGAACCAGGAGGCUGCUGCGUUUUACAGGAUACUGGAGCCCAGUUCUCAAUCAAACGCUAGAGCUCAGAAAGACAUGCCUCUCAGAUCUGUCUACCUUUAAGCAUUUUUUUAAUUAAUAACUGGAUAUUGACCAUUAAAACCAUCACAGGUAUAGGAGUUUGUUGACUAAAAUUUGUAUUAUAGAUACAACUGAAAUGUUUACAAAUCUUUAUAAGAAAAUCAUUACUACUUGGGUCAGAAGCAAUGCAAGUCAAGCUUAGGUCUAUGGUUUUUGCUCCUGAUCAGUAAUAUGUAGAUGGCAUGUGUUCUCUUACCCUCUCUAAAUCUGGAAAGAUGCAUUUCAUAGUACCUCUAAUCUCAAAAAUUUUAACUUUCACUUUUAAUUGUUGAAAAUGUCAUUCUGAAAUCCAACAAUGAAUGAGUGAAUGUGUAUAUAUUCAUCAUAUACUUGUACACACACACACAAAUAAAACCUGUAUCUCACGGCCCACAUAUCUUGCUUAAGCUGCUCUUUCAGGAAGAUUUAUGACACUCUGCUUCACAAAGAAAGUUUAAAAGAGAGAAAGAAAACGAAAUGAAACAGUGACUGUUCCCUAGUGCAAUUACUCUGUCAAAUACUCCCCUAGGGAAAGGAAUUUGCUCUUAUUGUGAAAUAAAUUAAUAUAGAAACCAGA